rnacentral:rRNA from 1 species
AGAGUUUGAUCCUGGCUCAGAGUGAACGCUGGCGGCAGGCCUAACACAUGCAAGUCGAGCGGCAGCGCGGGGCAACCUGGCGGCGAGCGGCGGACGGGUGAGGAAUGCAUCGGAAUCUACCCUGUCGUGGGGGAUAACGUAGGGAAACUUACGCUAAUACCGCAUACGACCGAGAGGUGAAAGUGGGGGACCGCAAGGCCUCACGCGAUUGGAUGAGCCGAUGCCGGAUUAGCUAGUUGGUGGGGUAAAGGCCUACCAAGGCGACGAUCCGUAGCUGGUCUGAGAGGAUGAUCAGCCACACUGGGACUGAGACACGGCCCAGACUCCUACGGGAGGCAGCAGUGGGGAAUAUUGGACAAUGGGCGCAAGCCUGAUCCAGCCAUGCCGCGUGUGUGGAGAAGGCCUUCGGGUUGUAAAGCACUUUUGUUCGGGAAGAAAUCGUGCGGAUUAAUACUUCGUACGGAUGACGGUACCGAAAGAAUAAGCACCGGCUAACUUCGUGCCAGCAGCCGCGGUAAUACGAAGGGUGCAAGCGUUACUCGGAAUCACUGGGCGUAAAGCGUGCGUAGGCGGUUGGUUAAGUCUGCUGUGAAAGCCCUGGGCUCAACCUGGGAACUGCAGUGGAUACUGGCCAGCUAGAGUGUGAUAGAGGAUGGUGGAAUUCCCGGUGUAGCGGUGAAAUGCGUAGAGAUCGGGAGGAACACCAGUGGCGAAGGCGGCCAUCUGGAUCAACACUGACGCUGAGGCACGAAAGCGUGGGGAGCAAACAGGAUUAGAUACCCUGGUAGUCCACGCCGUAAACGAUGUUCACUCGCUGUUUGCGAUACACAGUAAGCGGCCGAGCGAAAGCAUUAAGUGAACCACCUGGGGAGUACGAUCGCAAGGUUGAAACUCAAAGGAAUUGACGGGGGCCCGCACAAGCGGAGGAACAUGUGGUUUAAUUCGAUGAUACGCGAGGAACCUUACCUGGGCUUAAAUGUAGGUUGCAUGACUUAGAAAUAGGUUUUCCCUUCGGGGCUACUUACAAGGUGCUGCAUGGUUGUCGUCAGCUCGUGCCGUGAGGUGUCGGGUUAAGUCCCAUAACGAGCGCAACCCCUAUCGUUAGUUGCCAGCGGGUCAAGCCGGGGACUCUAGCGAGACUGCCACCGUAAGGUGAGAGGAAGGUGGGGAUGACGUCAAAUCAGCACGGCCCUUAUGUCCAGGGCUACACACGUGUUACAAUGGCCGAUACAAAGGGCAGCUACCGGGCGACCGGAUGCUAAUCUCUAAAGUCGGUCCCAGUUCGGAUUGGAGUCUGCAACCCGACUCCAUGAAGUUGGAUUCGCUAGUAAUCGCGCAUCAGCCAUGGCGCGGUGAAUACGUUCCCGGGCCUUGUACACACCGCCCGUCAAAUCCAUGGGAGCUGGGGGUGCCUGAAGUCUGCCACCGCAAGGAGCGGCCUAGGGUAAAACCCGGUGANCUGGGGUNAAGUCGUAACCAAGGUAAC